rnacentral:tRNA from 1 species
GCCGGAGUGGUGAAAUUGGCAGACACGCUAGGUUCAGGACCUAGUGCUCGCAAGGGCGUGGGGGUUCAAGUCCCUUCUCCGGCACCA